rnacentral:rRNA from 1 species
UACGAAGGUGGCAAGCGUUGUUCGGAUUUACUGGGCGUACAGGGAGCGUAGGCGGUUUGGUAAGCCCUCCGGGAAAUCUUCGGGCUUAACCCGGAAAGGUCGGAGGGGACUGCCAGGCUAGAGGACGGGAGAGGAGCGCGGAAUUCCCGGUGUAGCGGUGAAAUGCGUAGAGAUCGGGAGGAAGGCCGGUGGCGAAGGCGGCGCUCUGGAACGAUCCUGACGCUGAGGCUCGAAAGCGUGGGGAGCAAACAGGAUUAGAUACCCUGGUAGUCCACGCCCUAAACGAUGGACACUAAGUGUCGGCGGGUUACCGUCGGUGCCGCAGCUAACGCAGUAAGUGUCCCGCCUGGGGAGUACGGCCGCAAGGUUGAA